CGGAUGAAGAGAGCUUGCUCUCUGAUUCAGCGGCGGACGGGUGAGUAAUGCCUAGGAAUCUGCCUGAUAGUGGGGGACAACGUUUCGAAAGGAACGCUAAUACCGCAUACGUCCUACGGGAGAAAGCAGGGGACCUUCGGGCCUUGCGCUAUCAGAUGAGCCUAGGUCGGAUUAGCUAGUUGGUGAGGUAACGGCUCACCAAGGCGACGAUCCGUAACUGGUCUGAGAGGAUGAUCAGUCACACUGGAACUGAGACACGGUCCAGACUCCUACGGGAGGCAGCAGUGGGGAAUAUUGGACAAUGGGCGAAAGCCUGAUCCAGCCAUGCCGCGUGUGUGAAGAAGGUCUUCGGAUUGUAAAGCACUUUAAGUUGGGAGGAAGGGCAUUAACCUAAUACGUUAGUGUUUUGACGUUACCGACAGAAUAAGCACCGGCUAACUUCGUGCCAGCAGCCGCGGUAAUACGAAGGGUGCAAGCGUUAAUCGGAAUUACUGGGCGUAAAGCGCGCGUAGGUGGUUUGUUAAGUUGAAUGUGAAAGCCCCGGGCUCAACCUGGGAACUGCAUCCAAAACUGGCAAGCUAGAGUAUGGCAGAGGGUGGUGGAAUUUCCUGUGUAGCGGUGAAAUGCGUAGAUAUAGGAAGGAACACCAGUGGCGAAGGCGACCACCUGGGCUAAUACUGACACUGAGGUGCGAAAGCGUGGGGAGCAAACAGAGAUUAGAUACCCUGGUAGUCCACGCCGUAAACGAUGUCGACUAGCCGUUGGGAUCCUUGAGAUCUUAGUGGCGCAGCUAACGCAUUAAGUCGACCGCCUGGGGAGUACGGCCGCAAGGUUAAAACUCAAAUGAAUUGACGGGGGCCCGCACAAGCGGUGGAGCAUG
rnacentral:rRNA from 1 species